GAUGAACGCUAGCGGCAGGCUUAACACAUGCAAGUCGAGGGGCAGCGGGGAGUAGCAAUACUCUGCCGGCGACCGGCGGAAGGGUGCGUAACGCGUGAGCGACAUACCCGUGACUGGGGCAUAACCGAUGGAAACGUUGACUAAUUCCCCAUAACACAUCGUGCUGCAUGGCAUGGUGUUGAAAAUUUCGAUGGUCACGGAUUGGCUCGCGUCUGAUUAGCUAGUUGGUGGGGUAACGGCUCACCAAGGCGACGAUCAGUAGGGGUUCUGAGAGGAAGGCCCCCCACAUUGGAACUGAGACACGGUCCAAACUCCUACGGGAGGCAGCAGUGAGGAAUAUUGGUCAAUGGACGAGAGUCUGAACCAGCCAAGUAGCGUGCAGGAUGACGGCCCUAUGGGUUGUAAACUGCUUUUANAUGGGGAUAAAGUGAGCUACGUGUAGUUUAUUGCAGGUACCAUAUGAAUAAGGACCGGCUAAUUCCGUGCCAG
rnacentral:rRNA from 1 species